rnacentral:misc_RNA from 1 species
GGAUUAUGUUAGCCCUGGAUCUCCGGCCGAAGAAGGAUCUUUCUUUGGAAUGGAAGCUGAACUAGAAGGCUUGGGACCUGGGUAAUUUUUUUUUUUCAGGAAUGGAUUGAUAUUGAACAUGGACUUUCUAUUAACAAUUUGUACCACAAAAUGAACAACUACCUGGAGGUCCUCUGCUAAACCCACUUGGCCUGGCUAAAGAUAAAAUGCACAUGAUUGGAAGAUUAGAGAGAAAAAAAAAUGCUAAAGUCCUCUUUCAAUUUUUGUACAAUGUUGGGGAUUUUUGUGCAAGCUUCUGUAACUCAUUGAGGGUCCCAUUGAUAACCUUGGGGAGCCCCUCUCCAAUCCACGGCACAAAACUAUCGUUCAAACCCCCUCUAACUCUGCUUCUUAAAAUAUGCAAUUGAACUUUAUUUGUGGUGAUCCACCAAUAAUAAGAUGGUGAAAUGUAAAUGAAGUCACA